GAUGAACGCUGGCGGCAUGCCUAAUACAUGCAAGUCGAACGGAGCAUCUUCGGAUGCUCAGUGGCGAACGGGUGAGUAACACGUAGGUAACCUGCCCAUGUGCCCGGGAUAACUUCUGGAAACGGAUGCUAAAACCGGAUAGGUAUGAGGAUCGCAUGAACCUCAUAUUAAAGAGGCUACGGCCUUGAACAUGGAUGGACCUGCGGUGCAUUAGCUAGUUGGUGAGGUAACGGCCCACCAAGGCGAUGAUGCAUAGCCGACCUGAGAGGGUGAACGGCCACAUUGGGAYUGAGACACGGCCCAAACUCCUACGGGAGGCAGCAGUAGGGAAUUUUCGUCAAUGGGGGGAACCCUGAACGAGCAAUGCCGCGUGAGCGAAGACGGUCUUCGGAUUGUAAAGCUCUGUUGUAAGAGAAUAACGACAUAUAUAGGGAAUGAUAUAUGAGUGAUGGUAUCUACCAGAAAKMMCGWYMMUCC
rnacentral:rRNA from 1 species